UACGUAGGGUGCAAGCGUUGUCCGGAAUUAUUGGGCGUAAAGAGCUCGUAGGCGGUCUGUCGCGUCGGCUGUGAAAUCCCGGGGCUCAACUCCGGGUCUGCAGUCGAUACGGGCAGACUGGAGUUCGGCAGGGGAGACUGGAAUUCCUGGUGUAGCGGUGAAAUGCGCAGAUAUCAGGAGGAACACCGGUGGCGAAGGCGGGUCUCUGGGCCGAUACUGACGCUGAGGAGCGAAAGCGUGGGGAGCAAACAGG
rnacentral:rRNA from 1 species